AUAAAUUAAAGUUUUAUGGAUGGCCAUAAUUCAAAUUAGAGCAGCAUUUCCAAUCAUGAAUGAAUAAAACAUUAAAUCUAGUAUUAAUACAUGUUUGAAAUCGAAUGAAAGUUAUGCAACAUCAAUAGACGCAACAGAAUAAAUAAACAAUGUUGACCUACUUAAACCUAGAAAGUUGUCUGUACCUCAAAAAAUAAAUUCCAUAAGAGAAUAAGUGGCAAUUUAAUUGAUUUUAAAUAUGAGCAUUAAUUUUUGUUUCCCUUGCGGAUCUCAAUUGAAUGAAAUACAUUCAAUAAAAUUCAUGUUGACAAGAGCGAGGUUAUGUAAGUAGUUGGUCAUUUGACUACUGCAGUCACGUCUGUCUGAAUGCAAAGUGUAAGCGAAGUGGCCUAGAGACCUACAUUUAUACAACGUUCGAUUUUUACAUCGUUCUAAGAAAUAGAUAUUGGUGAAACCUUGGCGCGAAGUUGAAGGUCAGUAAUUCCUAGGACCUUGAGGCGUGGUAAAUUCGGUUAUCAUUACGGGAUAAGUGCUUAAUCUAAUAAACAAUGCAUGAAGAAGCGACAAGUAUGAGCGUUCCUAGCUCUGUUGCCGCAUCUACUACACCACAAAACGAAAACGGCAUAUCUACAGUUUCGGUGGUUAAUGCUGAAGUGGAUUUGGAAGUUUCUACGGAUAAUGAAAACAUUGACUUGCAAGUGCCUUUUUCAGCGAGUUCAGGAGGUAAAUAUUGGAAACAUCUUCAAAAUUGUUCCAUGAUAAUGAUCCAACAGUAAUUCUAGGUAAAAAGGAUUUGUAUAUAUUUAGUAUUUGAGUUUUUAUUCAAAAGAAAUGUUUGCGGUUGAACACAGUAAACUAUGAUUUGAGUAUACAAAAACUAUGUUUUGAA